UCCCAGUCCCAGCUGCGCCCCAGAUCCCUCGCCGCCGCCGCCGCCCAGCUGCGCCCCAAAUCCCUCGCCGCCGCCCGGCUGCACGCUGAAUCCCUCGUCGGCGGCUCUACCUCCUCCACUCUCUCGCCUGCCCCCUCCGCCAUAUUUGUUGGGUCGUCGACCACGGAACGACCGCCUCCGGAAUGUCGCUGUCAACCUCCUGUUGCCUCCGCGGGAGGGUCUCCUUCAACGUCACCGCCACUGCCGUCACUCGACCGCCGUAGCAUCCUUCUUUGAGUACCACCCCGUUCCAUCCAGGGAACUCUUUCUUAACCGGAUUGCUUUGGUUUGCUCUGUCUGGAAUAAUGCACUGAAAAUGAAAACAUUGCAGGGAACACGUCAUGAAAUAGCAGUUGCGUUGCAAGUACAAUGAACAUCAUCAAUGCAACAGAGAGGUUAAAGAUGAGGUUGAGGUUAUCACUUGGCGUCAAGAAAUUGUAUAAUAUUCUUCCAAAUGAAGUGGGGCAAAAAUCAAGAUCCGUGAUCCACGUGAGAUGCAAGAGCCUUUGCUCUAAUCAAGGAUUUAGGAAGCAUUGACCAGCUGCAUGGCAAGUACAAGGAGCAUUAUCAGUACAACAAGGAGGUUCAAUCAAGAAGUUGAGGUCAUCAAUCAAGGCAAGAAAUUCUACCAUAUUGUUCUGAAUGAAGAGGUACCUUUUCCUGCUAUUACAUUAUCAAAUAUUUGCAUAAUGCUUUGGUUUCUACUAUUAUGGAGAUGAUCAAGGAUCUGUCGAGCAUUCUUGCAAAUCUGAAAUGGAUAGACUUAACUCCCUACUAUUUUCUUAUUAUGUAGCUUUGUGGUUAUGCAUCCUUGAGGAGUUGCACUUAAUUCUAUUAACAUUGGUAUUGUGUUUUGAAGUGACUUGCAAGAAGUCUCUAAUAAAUUAUCUACUCCGACUGUUAGCUGAUAGUUCUGUCAAACUGACCCAGAAGCUUGUGCUCAGGUUGUCAUUUGAAUGGAUUUAGUCAGCUGUAUGGUUUGCAUCAAAUCUGAGACAUGAUGCUAGAACAAAUCACUCCAUUAUUUGGCUAUAUAGCUGUUAAAUUUGGUAACCCUGCUGUGACAAAAACAAGUUUGGUAUAUAUGCCAAUGUUAAUGUGAGAAGCUGAGAUACCAAAUAGAUUAUGUUGAUCAUAUCUUAUAUAUGUUUUCCUGUUUCUUGUUACCUUUUUAACACUUGCUCAUUUUCACAAGUUCAAUUAUGCCACUGCAAGGUAACCUUGAAUAGCAGCUUGCAACUUAAGCUGCAGCAAGGCAUUAUAGAAAAUGAGGUCUCAUGUUGGACCUCUGUUUUUGUUAGCCUUUGAUUCAUGUAAAUUCUAUGGAACUGUACCAGGAGAUAUGUGAAUUGUAGAUAUAUGGUUGACGUAAACUAUUGAAAUUGAUGUUUCUGUGUUCUGAGUAUUCUGAAUAAUGGA